rnacentral:rRNA from 1 species
UCGGGAAUUUUGGGCAAUGGGCGAAAGCCUGACCCAGCAACGCCGCGUGAAGGAUGAAGUAUUUCGGUAUGUAAACUUCGAAAGAAUAGGAAGAAUAAAUGACGGUACUAUUUAUAAGGUCCGGCUAACUACGUGCCAGCAGCCGCGGUAAUACGUAGGGACCAAGCGUUGUUCGGAUUUACUGGGCGUAAAGGGCGCGUAGGCGGCAAUUCAAGUCAUCUGUGAAAUCUCCGGGCUUAACUCGGAACGGUCAGAUGAUACUGCUUUGCUAGAGUGCAGAAGGGGCAAUCGGAAUUCUUGGUGUAGCGGUGAAAUGCGUAGAUAUCAAGAGGAACACCUGAGGUGAAGACGGGUUGCUGGGCUGACACUGACGCUGAGGCGCGAAAGCCAGGGGAGCAAACGGGAUUAGAUACCCGAGUAGUCCCUGAGCGGGCUGGCAAGGCGCAU